GAAAAGCACAAACAAAUGAAGAAGGAUCCACCACAGGCAGGAGAGACCCCUGGACAAAACUGGCAACAUGACACCAGAGACAAUGACAGCGCAGAUGAUGGUUUGCCAUAAUCAUGCUCACCCCCGUGUUGGAAGUUUGUCUUUACCAAGCAUGGAGCAGGAAACAGGAG
rnacentral:lncRNA from 1 species